rnacentral:misc_RNA from 1 species
GAAAUGCGAUAAGUAAUGUGAAUUGCAGAAUUCAGUGAAUCAUCGAAUCUUUGAACGCACCUUGCGCUCCUUGGUAUUCCUUGGAGCAUGCCUGUUUGGGUAUCAUGAAAUCUUCAAAGUAAAUCUUUUGUUAACUCAAUUGGUUUCUACUUUGGUAUUGGAGGUCUUUGCAGCUUCACACCUGCUCCUCUUUGUUCAUUAGCUGGAUCUCAGUGUUAUGCUUGGUUCCACACGGCGUGAUAAGUUAUCUAUCGCUGAGGACACUGUAAAAGGUGGCCAAGGUAAAUGCAGAUGAACCGCUUCUAAUAGUCCAUUGACUUGGACAAUACUUUUAUGAUCUGAUCUCAAAUCAGGUAGGACUACCCGCUGAACUUAAGC